UCGGGUUGUAAAGCACUUUUGUCCGGAAGAAAACCUCCGUCCUUAAUACGGUGGGGGAUGACGGUACCGGAAGAAUAAGCACCGGCAACUACGUGCCAGCAGCCGCGGUAAUACGUAGGGUGCAAGCGUUAAUCGGAAUUACUGGGCGUAAAGCGUGCGCAGGCGGUUCGCUAAGACCGAGGUGAAAUCCCGGGCUUAACCUGGGAACUGCAUUGGUGACUGGCGGGCUAGAGUAUGGCAGAGGGGGGUAGAAUUCCACGUGUAGCAGUGAAAUGCGUAGAGAUGUGGAGGAAUACCGAUGGCGAAGGCAGCCCCCUGGGCCAAUACUGACGCUCAUGCACGAAAGCGUGGGGAGCAAACAGGAUUAGAUACCCUGGUAGUCCACGCCCUAAACGAUGUCAACUAGUUGUCGGGUCUUCAUUGACUUGGUAACGAAGCUAACGCGUGAAGUUGACCGCCUGGGGAGUACGGUCGCAAGAUUAAAACUCAAAGGAAUUGACGGGGACCCGCACAAGCGGUGGAUGAUGUGGAUUAAUUCGAUGCAACGCGAAAAACCUUACCUACCCUUGACAUGGACGGAACCCUGCUG
rnacentral:rRNA from 1 species